rnacentral:rRNA from 1 species
UACGGAGGAUGCAAGCGUUAUCCGGAAUGAUUGGGCGUAAAGCGUCCGCAGGUGGCUAUGUAAGUCUGCUGUUAAAGAGUGAGGCUCAACCUCAUAAAAGCAGUGGAAACUACAGAGCUAGAGUGCGUUCGGGGCAGAAGGAAUUCCUGGUGUAGCGGUGAAAUGCGUAGAGAUCAGGAAGAACACCGGUGGCGAAGGCGUUCUGCUAGGCCGCAACUGACACUGAGGGACGAAAGCUAGGGGAGCGAAUGGG